UUAAGGUUUAACCCAAGCCCAACGGUAAUGGGUUGGGGGCCAAUUCUAAAAGGGAGAACUGCCCGGUUGAACAAAACCGGGAAGGGAAAGGUGGGGGAUGAACGUCAAGUCAUCAUGGGCCCUUAACGGGCCCUGGGGCUACAACAACGUGCUACAAUGGUUCGGUACAAAGGGUUGCCAAGCCGCGAGGUGGAGCUAAUCCCAUAAAACCGAUCGUAGUCCGGAUCGCAGUCUGCAACUCGACUGCGUGAAGUCGGAAUCGCUAGUAAUCGUGAAUCAGAAUGCCACGGUGAAUACGUUCCCGGGCCUUGUAC
rnacentral:rRNA from 1 species